rnacentral:rRNA from 1 species
GGACAGUAUGGGAGUGAGAAUGUUGGCAUGAGUAGCGAGAUGUGGGUGAGAAUCCCACAGGCCGUAAACCCAAGGUUUCCAGGGGAAGGUUCGUCCGCCCUGGGUUAGUCGGGACCUAAGCUGAGGCCGAAAGGCGUAGGUGAUGGACAACAGGUUGAUAUUCCUGUACUACCGAUAACCGGUUGAGAGAAGGGAUGACACAGUAGGAUAAGCUAAGCACACUGUUGGUUAUGUGUGCCCAAGCAUUGAGGCAGUCAAAGUAGGUAAAUCCGCUUUGAUAAUGCUGGGAUGUGAUGGGGAGCGAAAUUUAGUAGCGAAGUAGCUGAUUUCACACUGUCAAGAAAAG